rnacentral:rRNA from 1 species
GGACUGCAGGCUGCAACCCGCCUGCACGAAGUUGGAAUUGCUAGUAAUCGCGGAUCAGCAUGCCGCGGUGAAUACGUUCCCGGGUCUUGUACACACCGCCCGUCACACCAUGGGAGCCGGUAAUACCCGAAGUCAGUAGUUUAACCCUUGUGGAGGACGCUGCCGAAGGUAGGAUUGGCGACUGGGGUGAAGUCGUAACAAGGUAGC